rnacentral:rRNA from 1 species
GACGAACGCUGGCGGCGUGCUUAACACAUGCAAGUCGAACGGAAGGCCCUGCUUUUGUGGGGUGCUCGCGUGGCGAACGGGUGAGUAACACGUGAGUAACCUGCCCUUGACUUUGGGAUAACUUCAGGAAACUGGGGCUAAUACCGGAUAUGAGCUCCUGCUGCAUGGUGGGGGUUGGAAAGUUUCGGCGGUUGGGGAUGGACUCGCGGCUUAUCAGCUUGUUGGUGGGGUAGUGGCUUACCAAGGCUUUGACGGGUAGCCGGCCUGAGAGGGUGACCGGCCACAUUGGGACUGAGAUACGGCCCAGACUCCUACGGGAGGCAGCAGUGGGGAAUAUUGCACAAUGGGCGGAAGCCUGAUGCAGCAACGCCGCGUGCGGGAUGACGGCCUUCGGGUUGUAAACCGCUUUCGCCUGUGACGAAGCGUGAGUGACGGUAAUGGGUAAAGAAGCACCGGCUAACUACGUG